AUAUAAAACUGUACUGAAACCCUGCUUCUCUGGAACACCUUCUAAGGCCUUCCUGGGUUAUAAUCCUCACUCUGGCUCAUAAGAAACUCACCCCAAUUCUGCGUCAACAUGUGAAAGCCAGCCGCGUGGAAAAGCAGAACACUGGGCCCUCCUCAGAGAAGAGAAUCUCAGCCCAUCAGCUGUGCAACUCUUCUCAAAAUCCAGGCUGAGGAAAAACCAUCUUAAGAAAGAUCAUUGAAAGCAACAUUUCCCAAACAGUGUUCCAGGGAGCACUCUUCUGCCCGAUGUCAAUAGGUCUUCAUGGAGGAAAGAAGUUCCACGGUUGACCAAAUGCACAUUUGCAUAUUGAAGGGUCUGAGAAGGAAAAUGUCAUCAGGACCAACCUGUUUAACUUGGUUCAAGCCAGCCUUUCCUUACGGUAUCUGACUCGAGAACUCUUCCUGGGGGUUUUUACCAGAAGCACACGUAGGAAAUCCACUUCUCUAUUUGUUACACAAUGCUGCUGGAAACAAUCAUCUCUUGUGAUACUUAUUGUCCAAAAUGCUCCAAAAACAAGUGUCCUUCUGACUUUGUGUGGAGGAGUGGUGGGAAGCGGGGCUUUGCUCUUUCUGAUGAGCAGAGCCGUGUAACUUGUUGUUCCCCUUUUGGCUCAAGGAAACUCUGAGUCAAACUUGAUAUUCAGUCUUAGUAAAGAUAUCUUUCUCUGUGAUUAGCAUAUUUUCUUCCUUCCUCUUUCCAUAUUCUUAUUGUUUUGAGUUUAUUUAACCCUCUGUUACUAUUAUCUUUUGGCAAAACCUUUCAAAAACAUUUGAGGAACAGUCAAGGUGGAAAUGUGUUUCAGAGGCAAAACGUGGCCAAGAAAACCUGCCCAGACUGUGACACUGAUGUUGAUAUGUGAUCAUGUAAUAUCCAUGAUCACACAGAUUCAACAACACAGUCAUAGUCUAAUCACACAAUGUGACAAGUUCCCCAGAUAUCAAACCAUUUUUAUUUUCGAUUUCAAUGAGUUUCAAUUGUAAGAAAAUAUUUGGCUCUACAAUUAUCACUACCACGUUCUUGUGCCCUGGUGAAGUAUUUGAUGGCAAAAAGGAAAUCCUUAGGGAAACUAUAGUUUUACGUUUCCAGUUCAUGGGGGAAUGUGGACCACAUUUAACUAACAGAGUAGUUUAGACGUGUUUUAUUUCAAAAUGCAAAUUCAUCAGAGGAGGAGGGGCUGUUCCCUGGGCUUCUCUUGAACACAUUACCACAUACGGCAUGCACACCGAGAUGUUCUUAGGAAAUUUCUUGAGUUGGCUUUUUGAAGUGACAGUGCACAGUCCUGGCUAGUGGGGGAAGGGAAGCAAGGCGUGAAGAAGAGGACUCGUGGCUGAGGCCUUCGUGACAAACAUCUGCGGUCCUUGUCUUAGACUUUAUCUUGAGUUCAACAGACCACAUUCCCCAGGACACUGACUCAUGGGCUGUGGGGCAGAGGAAACUUAAACAUCCGGGAAUAUGAGACUAGUCAAAUAGCUUACAGUGGAACACUACCAAACCAAUAAAACUGAAUUACAUAAAAAUAUUUAACGGCAGCUUUGACGCAGCUUUGAGCACUCGUGAAUUUGGAACAAGAUAUAUUUAAUCUUUCGAUUUAGUCAACAUUUGCCAUCCUCAGUCAGAGACACAGAAACAGAAAAGUUAAAAUUUAUUACUCUGAAUUCAAAAAACUAAAGUAUGAGAGAAAUUUAAAUAAAUGAUGCUAUUUUGUAAAUCUGUAGAUUUCUACUUCUGCCUUUAAAAGAGCUAAAACAGCACGAAGACUUUGGGACACGCUGAGUUAUUUAUUGAACACUGCAGGCUACUAACAGUGUACACGGGGUGUUUCAAAUUUUGUAAAGCAUAACAUAUGUCUAUAUAUUCAUAGAAAAAAGUCUACAGAAUUAUAACCAUGCAUAUUUACACA